GUCCACACCGUAAACGUUGGGCGCUAGGUGUGGGGCCUAUUCCAUGGGUUCCGUGCCGCAGCUAACGCAUUAAGCGCCCCGCCUGGGGAGUACGGCCGCAAGGCUAAAACUCAAAGGAAUUGACGGGGGCCCGCACAAGCGGCGGAGCAUGCGGAUUAAUUCGAUGCAACGCGAAGAACCUUACCUGGGUUUGACAUAUGCCGGAAAGCCAUAGAGAUAUGGCCCCUUUUGUCGGUAUACAGGUGGUGCAUGGCUGUCGU
rnacentral:rRNA from 1 species